UCCUAAGAAAAGCUUCCACUCACCGCCGCCACCUCCUCAAUUCACACCGCCUAUGAUACCACAGCACUCACCGCCUCCACCGCAACAGCCUCCUCCACCGACACCAGUGAAUUCACCACCUCCUCCUCCACCAGUUCACUCCCCACCUCCUCCACCAGUUCACUCCCCACCUCCUCCUCCACCAGUUCACUCCCCACCUCCUCCACCAGUUCACUCCCCACCUCCUCCGUUUUACUCACCUCCACCGCCGGCAGCGUCGCCUCCGCCACCACCAGUGCACUCACCUCCGCCACCAACAGCAUCUCCUCCUCCGCCGCCACCAAAAGCAUCUCCGCCACCACCGCCGCCAGUCUUCUCUCCCCCCCCACCUGUCCAUGCAUCCCCGCCACCGAUCUUAUCGGCUCCUUCACCAGCGCCCGUCUCCUCUUCCCCGCCGCCGGA
rnacentral:lncRNA from 1 species